GACGAACGCUGGCGGCGUGCUUAACACAUGCAAGUCGAACGGAAAGGCCCUGCUUGCAGGGUGCUCGAGUGGCGAACGGGUGAGUAACACGUGGGUGAUCUGCCCCUUACUUUGGGAUAAGCCUGGGAAACUGGGUCUAAUACUGGAUAGGACCAUGCUGUAGGUGGUGUGGUGGAAAGCUUAGUUUCGGUAAGGGAUGAGCUCGCGGCCUAUCAGCUUGUUGGUGGGGUAAUGGCCUACCAAGGCGUCGACGGGUAGCCGGCCUGAGAGGGUGGGCGGCCACAUUGGGACUGUGAGACGGCCCAGACGCCUACGGGAGGCAGCAGUGGGGAAGAUUGCACAAUGAGCGCAAGCGUGAUGCCGCGACGCCGCGUGGGGGAGGACGGCCUGCGGGUUGUAAACUCCUUUCAGCCAUGACGAAGCCAUUGUGGUGACGGUAGUGGUAGAAGAAGCACCGGCUAACUACGUG
rnacentral:rRNA from 1 species